rnacentral:ncRNA from 1 species
CAGGUGGCCCCGUUGCCGGGGCUUAAUAGGGAAGCCGGUGGGAGUCCGGCGCGGUCCCGCCACUGUAACUGGAUGAGGCUAUCUCCAUUGCCAACCCCACGGCGUUAAGGCCGGGAAGGCGGGGGAUGGCCCGUUAUCCGGAAGCCAGGAGAUCUGCCGCAGAC